rnacentral:rRNA from 1 species
UACGAAGGGGGCUAGCGUUGCUCGGAAUUACUGGGCGUAAAGGGCGCGUAGGCGGCGCAGAUAGUCAGGCGUGAAAUUCCUGGGCUCAACCUGGGGACUGCGCUUGAUACGUCUGUGCUAGAGGACGGAAGAGGGUCGUGGAAUUCCCAGUGUAGAGGUGAAAUUCGUAGAUAUUGGGAAGAACACCGGUGGCGAAGGCGGCGACCUGGUCCGUUACUGACGCUGAGGCGCGACAGCGUGGGGAGCAAACAGG